CCCUAUGGGGUGCAGCAGGCGGAUUGGUAAGUCAGUGGUGAAAUUCAACGGCUCAACUGUUGAUCUGCCAUUGAUACUGUCAGUCUAGAGUAUAGUUGGAGUGGGCGGAAUGUGUCAUGUAGCGGUGAAAUGCUUAGAUAUGACACAGAACACCGAUCGCGAAGGCAGCUCACUAAGCUAAAACUGACGCUCAUGCACGAAAGCGUGGGGAUCAAACA
rnacentral:rRNA from 1 species